UUUCGUGACAUUCUAGUGUAUAUGAAGCAGAAAGAUUUACAAAAACUAAGAAUUAACACUGCUCACUGAACAAAAAAUAUUACAAGUAUAGUUUGAAUUUCCUCGAGUAUACAUUAAAUAGAAAAUAUACUGUCAGUAUCCUUGAGCCAAGCGCCUAUCACUUAUCCAAAUGAUUCUCAGUUUGCGGAUAAGCUGAAUUAAAACUGCAACAUUGAUUUUAUAUAAUUUUGACUUAAAUUAUUUAAUCAGGGUGAAACUAAUGUAUUAUCCAAACACCACUGGUUCCGAGGAAAAUGGCAAAUUGGACAACAUUCCAGAUUAAAUAACAUUUGAAACAGUUGAGUUUACUGAAAGUACAUUGUACUUGAAGUUUACAUCAUAAUAAUGCAAGAUUUCAGUAUACAUAACAUUCAUAUUAGACAAGUUUCACUGUAGUAUUUUUUUUUUAAAUCUUAGAUUAGAUCUGAAUCAAAGACGGAACACAUGACUGAGUACACAGAAGUUUGAAAGUAGUAUUGGAGAGAAUAAUUUUACUUAGAAUUAAACAAAAGAAUGCAUUGAUACUAACUAAGUAGAAUUGAUGAUAAUUAUAUCUACAAUUCUAUUUUUAGUUUCAAUUAAUAAAAUGAGGGUAAGUGAUAACUAUAAUCACAUUUAUUUUUACUUGUGUCUAAACUAGGACAUUAAGCAUUAGACUCUAAAAAUGCAGACAUAAUGGUUUAAUAAGAUUUUCACCAAAUUGUGCAUUUAUGUCACGUACCCAUUGCAGGUCUGAAUCUCAUUUAAAUCUGACCUGAUCAUUUUACUCUAAUCAAAGUGCUCAGAUGAGCAAUGAUAUGGUCCAUGGGCUUUUUGUUCAGAGUUUACUUACAAUUUCCUGAUAUACUUUAUGCAUUUGACAUGAGUAUAUGCUUAAGAUAACCUGUGUAAUAUUUUAAAAUUAUUUAUAACUGUGGAGUUUUUUAUUUAUUAGAUAAAAAGGAGGAAAACCCAGAGGAUAAAAAAGGUGAAGCUCAAGUCAUGCUAGAAGGAAAUGGAGAUGUUUAAAGGAUAUGAAAAAAAGCAAUGAUUAGAACUGUUGAUUCUUAAAAAUAGUCUCAGAUGUAUGUGAAUUUCCUUGUUUUGUAACAAACUCUGAUUUUAUCUCAGUUGUCACUAUUUUAUACCAUAUGUCAGUAUAUGUUUAUGUUUCAUUUUGUUAGUUUGAUUUUGAUUUUUAAUGUUGUGCUUCUUAUGACAGCAAUUUUGAAAUGGAGCCUUGGCUUUUUUAGUAACUCACCUGAGUCAAAGACUCAGUUCAGCAUUUUUGAUUGAAGGGUGUCAAGCUUUUAUCUGCCAUAUGUCAUGUGUAAAUUUUCAGAUUUCAAAUUCUCCAGAACCAAUUUUAAAACUUAAUGAGACUAAAUUCAAAAUUGAAUGGCUCCCAGUGUUAGGGUGAGGCAACAAAAGGGGAUUGGGUAUUAACUUAAAAUAUAUAGGGAAAUACUUUUGAAUAAUCCUUUACAAGAAUAGCAUUUAACAAUUAGUAGUAAUAAUAAAUAUUUUAUAAAAAGGUGGCUCAGGUGAGUUUUGUGGUCCAUGGUUCUCUUGAGUAUAAGAGGUGUUUUUCUUUUGUUUUUAUAUUUUUCCUUCAUUUGUUGGAAAACAAAGUUGUAGAAUUAUUUUGCAAGUGUUGAUAUUUUUUUUUGUUUUAUGCAUAAAUAAGAGUAAUCAUUUUAUUGCCUAAGCAAAACACUCAAGUGUUUGUCAACACUGAAAACCCUGAAACUAGGAAAUAAGAACCAAACAGAUUGAUGAUCAAGGAUAUCUGUAAGAUUCCUCAUUAUGGAUGAUUCCCAGAACAACUUUGGGUUUGUAACAAGCUUUGCACAGGUUAUCAUAGAAGUUUUCACAGAAGGGGAUCUUUUUUUUUUUGGGAUUUUUUUAAAAAUGAUAAUGGAGAGUAAUUCAUGAGACAAUCACCAAUAUCUACUGGUCCUUGACAAGUCAUGGAUUAAAAAGUAUGUGUUCUCAUUAUAUUAUAGCCUCACAAAGAAGGGGAAAAACAGGUAACUCAAGUGAACAUUGUGUCUCACAAAGGCAUCUUUUCAGCUGAAUUUAAUGACAUAGAUGUAAUGUUACAAUAAAUUGUAGUUUUGUGUACCAUGUUUACUUAUGUGUGGGAGAUCAGAAAAAAAGUUUAACAAGUUAAAAUUUGUAACAUUAAUAUUAUAAUAAAGCAUACCUACAGUUGUACAUUAAUAUAUGUAUUGUAUGUAUACUUUCUGACUACAAAGAGAAUAUACUAAGAGCAUCGUUAAGUAGAACAUCCUUUGCAGCAUGUUGACAGUUUCAUUCCAGAAAGCACAUCUGAACAAAUGAUGAUUUUGUGAAGGCAGCAUCACUAGUGCUGGUUUUAACAUAUAAACUUUUACUUAAAACAUCUCCUUGUCAGGUGUUUGGCUACAUGGUCACACAAAUGUGGAACAUGUCAUUAUAAUAUUUUUAAAUACUGAUUUGGACCCAGGUGGAAUAGUUUCUGUAGAUUGUGUCAACAGCUAGCUAUAAAGUAAAAUUGCAUGCAUGCAUGUCAACUAUAAAAGAUGAACUAGGUGUUUACAUUAAAGAUUAAAACGAAGAAAAGUGGGAAGCCUAGUCUUACAUCUUAACAACUUUCUGUAUAGUGAGUGACAUAAUUGUACACUCGUCUCUGGUGUAAUCUGCUACACUGUGUAUAUGAAUUGAGUAUUUCAUGUGUAACUGAAAACUCAUAGUUGUGUUUUGAUUGCUCACAUUUGUUAGAAUGAAACUGCUGAAUAAGAUUGUACAUGUAAUUCAAGAUUUUACAUCUAUUUGUUGUGCUAGUACAUUGUAAGAUUAUGAUGUAGUAAGUGAAGAUUUUAGUGCAUAAUAUUCUUUAGAACAGUGGAUGAUAGCAUUUUUUUCUCUGCCUGCCUUCAAGUCAGUUUUCAGUGCGUAAUACAUGUAUAUUUUAAUGAGGAUAGUAUUUAUAUUGAUGUUUUAAUGUAUUUUCACAUUGUUUAAAAUUUAUUUGGAAUAUAAUUAAAUAAAUUUCAUAAAAAACUCAAAUUUUUACUUCUAGAAAUCAAGUGAUUUGGAAAGUAUUUUAAAUACAUCUGUGCCCUAGCUUUGUAUAAUACAAAUGCCUUUUUACAGGUGAUAUAUAAUAAUCUACAUACAGUGUAUUUUUAUAUUAAGUUAAUUAAUUAUCAUUUUACAAAUCCCUGACAAUGCUUUUGUUGUUUCACCGAAGAAUUAUUUUUUUACAGACAAAUAUUCAGCAAAAAAGUUUUUUAUUACUUAUUUAAUUGAGAAUAUAACUAAAAAUUGUAUUUUGUCAAUCAUUUUACUCUGAAGGUAAAGUAUUGCACAGUGGAAACAUCAGUUGACCCCCUUGAAUUAUUAAUCAAUGACUAAUCAAAUUUUCUUUUCAUUCAAGUUUUAUUAGCCAAUAUGCUAUUACUGUUGACUUAUAAUUAUUUUUGUAAUAUUAAAUUUCUGCAAGAAUUGAGAGCUAGCAUACAUAUAACUACAUGUACAUAUUUAGUUCUUUUUUUAUGUUAGAAGUUGUAGUACAUAUUGUAUAUGUGUUUAUACAUGUAACUUACAAUUUUGUAAUACAUGUAGUUUAUACAUGUAUUUGUAUUACAAGUAUGCAAAGCAACCAUUUCUUUUAUCAAUGUAUAUAUAAAACUGCUUGCUAUGAUGCUUAUCUUAGCUAACCCUCAAUUUUUACCGAAAGCAUCAAAUCAUCAAUUAUAGAGAAAUAUUUUUUUUAACCAAGUGUAGGAUAUUAUGUCCAUGUCUUUAACAUAAACUCAGUAGAAAAUCGUCUGCAUCAUACAGUAGAAAUGGGGAGUAUAAAAGAACUAUUCUAAAGAGGAGCUAGAGAUCCUCUCUGCAAAAAAAAAAAAAAAAAAGGACCUGGAAAUCGAUUUUGCUAAAUCUAAAUGCAAAUUCACUGUUUUUUCCUCUAAUGUCCAAAAUAUGUUACGUAUUAAGGAUUUUUAAAAGAAAAAUUGCUUUGUGUUUUCCCGGGGUAAGGGACUUGAAAAACUCCGUAUUUCUAAAUUUACACAGGUAGGUUAAAAAGAGGUGAUGCAGGUUGCUUCUGAAUUAUAUUGUAUGCCUUGUAAAAGAUCAAUCCAAAAUAAAUAUAAAAAAAUAUAAAAGAGUUAUUUAUUGCAGUUAUCUGAUUAUGCAUAUUUUAAAAAUAAUCAGAUUUUUAAUUUUCUAUUUUGGAAUUUGUAAAAAUAAAAGACUCCAAAAUUAUGGUGCCUUGAAGAAAAAAAUAAAAUAAAGAAAUCGUAAUGUUUAAAUAUUGUGAAUAAGUAUCAUUGAAGAAUACUAAUAAUAAAUAAAUUUUUCUUGUCAUUGAAUAAAUAUUUGCUCCGUACGUACCAUUUGACAAAAAUUGGAAAAAGAAAAAAAAACAUUUUUUAAAGAACAUUUUUAGUUAUUUUAUAUAAUGUAAGAUGGCCCAUGAUAGAGGGACUGGGCUUGAUGGAACAUACCUGGAAGUUAUCCAAUAAAAAUUUCAACUUUUGAUAUUUUAAUUUUGAACCAUAAACGUUUUUAAAAGUCUGAUAAAAUCGUAUAAGAACCUGUGUUCUGAACCGACAUUUUUUUUUUCAUCAUUUGAUUAUCUUAUUAAUAAUUUAAAAAAUUUGAAAAAAAAGAAGAAAUAUGAAGAUCACAGAUCUAAUUAAGUUAUGUCAUGGACUAUGUAAAAAGUAUUUGAAUUCAAGCAUUAAAGGACGCAUCAAUUGGUGAUAUCCACCAAAAAUGGGUGUAUCAUAGUGAGGGUUAAAUUGCCUAUUAUUUGUGUUAAUCAUACAACGGGGUUUGCUCGCUACCGUUGACUUAUAAUUAACAUGAAGUGGCGCUGUAGAAGUCACAAUUGUUGUACUAUGCCACUUAUUUUGCAAUACUUUUUAAUUUUGUAUAUUUGCUUAUGCGUUAGCUAGAUGGAUAUUCAGCAAUUUUUGUGUAUUAAUGCCUUGCAGUAUGAUUGUGUAUGCCAUUGAAAAAUAAAUGCUUUUCAUAAUAUAA